AUUCUUUAGCUGCCUCCCAUGACAGGAGCCAGAAGGCCAACUGCCUCAAGAGUUUCAGUUCUUAAGGGCUGAAGAAGUUUGCCUCUCAAUCCUGGGGACAGAUAAGCCUUGGGUGCUCAAAUUGGUUGGCCAGGCUCCCAUGCAGCACUGACAAGAGCACAACCUGAAGGUCAUAGCCUUCCAGAAGGAUGCAUAGCCCAUGGCUGGAGGUGCUGCAUAGGCUAAUGGGCUGAGCUUCAAAAGGAUAUGCCAGGUUGAAAAAACAACCAGUGCCAAAUACAAUGCUAUCCUCACUUUCAUUUUGUAAAAACACGCAUAUGUAUUUAUUUUGCUGAGAAUACGAAGUGUCUUUUAUAUUAAGUAGAAGAAAAGGUGGCAGACUACAUAUCAGUCUGAGCAAUGGUAAAUUAACCUGUUUUAUAGACCAUGAGGACAGAGAAUAGAUUCUCCAAAAGAAUAGCCACUAGCAGGAAGAGUUAUAAAGCAGUUUCUGAUGCUGGCUAUUAUUCAAAUCAUAAUCCUGCUCUUCAGCCCCCUCAGAACAGAACUCACAGCACAUGUUUUGAAGCUUGAACUGCACUUAUCUCACAUGUCUAAAUCUGGCAGAGAAUAGCCCACUCUCGGUAAAGAAUAAAAAAAUAAAGCCAACAGAAAGCUGCUUAACUGAAUUCUUGGGACAAUGAGGUGUGAACAGGUGUGAUGAUGUGUUAAACAGCAUGUGGCAAAAAUGCCUAUGCUUGCUAAUGAGAUGACAGUUGCUUGUUAUGCAAACUGUCCUAGCAAAAUCAUCUUUGCCUAGUACUUAUGCCCUUGGGCUCACAUCCAAUCAACUUGAGAGCUGCAACAUGUCAUUCAAAAUGACAUUCAUCAGUAUAGACAACUAUAUGAGAUCUAUAUGCAUAGAAAACCCCAGCACUCACUACCAUUAAGGUAAAUGAGAAUCUUCAUCAGUGAAAGCUUGGAACAUGCAAUCUUCCCUAGCCAAAAAAAAAAAAAAAAACAGCAGGUGCUCAUGAGAAUUGUGAGUUCCACUAGCGGGAAAUAAAGACUAAUUAAAA
ensembl:lncRNA